rnacentral:rRNA from 1 species
UACGGAGGGUGCAAGCGUUAUCCGGAUUCACUGGGUUUAAAGGGUGCGUAGGCGGCUUGAUAAGUCAUUGGUGAAAGCUCGCAGCUUAACUGCGAAACUGCCAUUGAAACUGUCAAGCUUGAAUGUGGUUGAAGUGGGCGGAAUACAACAUGUAGCGGUGAAAUGCUUAGAUAUGUUUUAGAACACCAAUUGCGAAGGCAGCUCACUAAGCCAAUAUUGACGCUGAGGCACGAAAGCGUGGGUAGCGAACAGG